rnacentral:rRNA from 1 species
CGCACAGGGAUAGCUGCGGGAAACUGCAGGUAAUACCUGAUGAGACCACAGUGUCAUAUGGCACAGCGGUCAAAGGGUGGGGAUCCCUCGGGACCUACUGGUGAGUGAGCGGCCCAUGUCCUAUCAGCUUGUUGGUGAGGUAACGGCUCACCAAGGCAUCGACGGGUACCGGGACUGAGAGGUUGACCCGGCGCAUUGGGACUGAGACACUGCCCAG